GAGAACUUGUCCCGGGCAAAAUCAGUAUUUCUAAAUACUUAGGGAUGCAGCAGUAACUUAGUAGGACUAGGACAAGGGUGUUAUAAAAACCUUAUUUGCUGAAUUUUUCAGCAUUCAUUCAUUGAUGCAUUGUAUUCCUUUCAUUCGACACUUUAGUAUUAUUCAGUUUACAGAUUCUAUAAGUUACCAACAGAGAAACACGCUACACAAAAACCACACAGGUAGAGAGGGAAAACGUGAACCUUGUUUGAUGCCAAAACUCAUAUCCAUCGUGAGAGCAUUCUAACUUUUGUAUGAUGAUGACGAUGUCUUCUUUAGUUUACGCUGUAAUCAUGAGUAGCUAAACUUCUCUGUUAGGGUUAUGGAAGCCUUAUGAUAUACUAUCUAUUACUAUGAGUUUGUGAAUUCUUGAUAUGUAUGCUACUUAUAUCAUUACUCUAUUUGUUUUAAUUAAAUUCUUGUGGUUGUAAACAUAUAGAAUAUGCCAUUAUAGCAUUAACUUGUUCGAGAGAAAAGUUACAUGUGUUGAAAAGAGAGUGUGACAAGGAAAUAGGGCUACCAACCCUUCUUUACAUGUAAAUUCCUUAACCGGAUUAACCUCUUGGAGAGUUUGUACCAUUAGUUAUACACUUUAAGCUUGAGAGAGUUAAAGUGAAAUAAUCCUUGAUGAUUUCAGAAACGCUAGGAUUUACCAUUAGAAUACAAAUCUCUAUAAGUGCAUGCAUGUCUGAAUUCCACAUUACUCAUAGUUAAUAGAUACAUAGAACUCAAAAGGUGGACAUAACCCUAACUUAUUAUUCUUUGUGAUUAAAUUUUACUAAACAAAUCAUUCAUUCGUUACUUUGUUAACAUUAGUCACGCCUAAAUCAAAACCCCCCUUUUUCCAUGGAAUUUUUGACCAACAGUCUACUAAUAGUUGCAACACUUAGUGACCAAGUAUUCCCUGUGGGAUUCGACACCCAACCCAGUUGGGUUCUAUAUUUGAUAGUGACUGCUUACACUCUUACGAGAACUGUAGUUUGGGCGUUAUCAAUGGAUCCAUAAUUUUAGGAGAAAAAUUAGCUCUGAGGGCUGGGCAUGGGGGUCCCAGUCUCAACGUGUCGGCUAUUGAUGGACUAUUUGAGCUAUUCCUAUGGCGAGAGUGGUUUGUUGUGUGCCUGAUGGGGGACAAACUGGUAAAGGUUCCUUCGAAGGCCUUCCUCGUGCAUUGAACAACCAACUUAGAAUAGGUACGAACAAGGGAAAUUUGACUAUUUAUUUAAAAUAAAGCAUUGCGAUGGUCCCAAUGGAUGUUCACAUAAUGUGAUUUCUAUCCAGUGCUCUAAAUGUCAAAGGGAAGAAAUUCAACCAAGUAUGGGUAAGUGGUGGGAGUAACUAUGAUUCAGUUAAGGUAUACAAAUUACUAGACAUCUAAUUAGUGCUGAACAUAAAUGGAUUAAUGAGAUUCCCACUGUCCGUAUGUGCAAUCUAGCAAACCAGAGCCAAGGGAACGGGCUUGGCAGAAUCAGCAGGGAAAGAAAACCCUGUUGAGCUUGACUCUAGUACGACUUUAUUAAAUGACUUGAGAGGUGUAGUAUAAGUUUGAGCCGAAAGUAGAAAGUGAAAUACCACUACUUUUAACAUUAUUUUACUUAUUUCAUGAAUCUGAAGUGGUUUGAACCCAAGGAUUGCUCUGUGGGCAAAUCCGGGCAGAAGACAUUAUAAGGUGUUGAGUUUGGUUGGGGUGGCACAUCUAUUAAAAUAUAACACAGGUGUCAUAAAAUGAGCUCAAUGAGAAUAGAAAUCCCAUAUGAAAUAGAUGGGUAAAAUCUUAUUUGAUUCUGAUUUCCAGUACAAAUACGAACUGUGAAAGAAGGCCAUCGAUCCUUUAGACCUUUGAAAUUCAAAGCUAGAGGUGUCAAGAAUGUUACCACAGGGAUAACUGGUUUAUGGCAGCCAAGCUGUCAUAGCGAAAUUGUUUUUUAUCCUUUGAUGUCGGAUCUUCCUAUCAUUGUGAAGUAGAAUUCACCAAGUGUUGGAUUGUUCACCAACAAAUAGGGAACAUGAUCUGGGUUUAGAUUGUCGUGAGACAGGAUAGUUUACCAUAUUAAUGAUAGUGUCACAAUAGUAAUUCAGCCAUGUAUGAGAGAAACCAUUGAUUCACCCAAUUGGUCACCACGCUUGGUUGAAAAUCCAGUGGCGUAAAUCUACCAUGUGUUGGAUUAUGAAUAAAUGCCUCUAAGUCAGAAUCAGGGCUACAAGUGAUGUAUGUGCCCGCCGUCCUCUUUCCGACCCACAGUAGGGGCCACGACUCCUAAAGAAACAUGUCGUUGGCUAACCCAUCAUGGUGAAAGAGUCAUUAUAGCCCCCUUGAUGUAGAAUUUUCAUUGAGCGGCGGGUAGAAUACUUUCGAGAUGACUUAAAUAUGCGACCAAGCAUUGUAAGUGGUACACUA
rnacentral:rRNA from 1 species